rnacentral:lncRNA from 1 species
GGGAAGAAAUGUUUUAUGGUAGCAGCAAGGGGACUUGAAAUUGAAUGGGGUGGUACACCAGAGUAUUGGGAAUGGUUAUCUCAUGUGGACUCAAGGUUUUAUAUAUUUGUGAUUCCUUUUUAUUACUAGAAUAAAUUUUGAAAGGAUCUGAACUAUUACUACAUGCCUAUAAUUAUUGAGCAAUGUGAAUUUUUUUUUUAGUUUCGCGGAAGUGGCUAAACUCAAGAGGGUUUGUUGGCUUGAUAUUCGAGGCAAAAUUGAAACUCGAAGACUGUCGAAAAGAACCAAAUAUGUUGUUUAUCUAGUGUUCAAAUUGGAAAAUAAAUGGCAUGGCCUUGAAACUGCUAAUGCAGUCGUUAGAUUUGUUGAUUCUGUGAGUGACAUUGACGCAGAGCAACGAGCUAGUGUUGUACAUUUUGCAGGACAAGGACCUAAAGAGACGCUACCCUUUAGAAGAGGUGAUGGAUGGAUGGAAUUAAAAAUGGGAGAUUUUUUCAAUGAUGCAGGAGAAGACGGAGAUGUAGAUGCACGAUUAAUGGAGACUAAACAUCUCGGUGAUAAAAGUGGCCUCAUUGUUCAAGGAAUGGAGUUUCGUCCCGAAUGAAGAAGAGAAGAAUCCUUCUCUUACUAUGACCUUUUGUUCAAUUAGUACUUUUAUAUAUGGCCUUUCUAAAGGAACGUAUUGAUCGAGAUGAUUGAAUUUGAUUAGAAAAUGCGCGUAAGUGGAAGAAGAAAGCUGAGGAGGCAGUUGCAGAACGCGGUUCGUCAGACAAAAAUAUGAAAGCAUUUGUGGAUGAACUGAAAAAAAUCCAUGCCAAGAAACAAGUAGAAAAUGUCUAGUUUUGUUUAACUACAUUCAUUUCAAGUGUAUAAUUCAAUCUAUGGGAUGUAAAUCGAGUAUGUUGUUGUUGUUUUUCUGCUUUCUAUAGCACGUUUCUACUAUUUGUUUAUAUAGCAUGUGAACUCUAACAAAUGGAAAGUGCCUGUUUCAAGAAAGCGGUCGUUCACGUCAAGAAUAGAGGUCUGUACUUUCUUUUCCUUUUGUUCAUCUAGAUUGUGUUGGUGUUCAAUGUACCACUUGUCUAGUCUGAUCUAUGCGAUCCUACAUAGAGUACAAGAUCGAAAAGAAUGCAUUGAAUGGAUGUCUGGUUAUAUGUUUGAAUAUAAAAUUAUAUGGAUAAGCAUCUCUUUAAAUUAGAAAUAAACAACAUCUAGUAGCUCUUAGGCAUAAGAUGUUCCUCAUCAGCUGACACAAAAGAUUUUCAAGGAAACAUACUUAUCUAGACGAGGUCAAUGGUCGAUCAAAAAGGCUCAACGACCUAGGCUAGUGACCUUCAUUGCACUUUGAAGGAGCAUCCAACUAAAGUAUGCCCAAGUGGUCGAGUCUAUAUCAUAAUUUGUGGUCAAGUUUUAUAAAAUUAAAUAAGUAGACAUAUAUACGCGUUCUACGUGACAAUCUACGUCGUAUGUGGCAUCUUACGUACAUCAUGUCGCGUGGGAUGCAUGUGUCUACUUUUUCAACUUCAUACAAGUUUUAAGUACCUACUUGUGCACUUCCAAAAUUGAAGAAUAUAAAUAUCAGCUAAGAUCAAGUUAAAAGACAUGCUUAUGUAUUAUAUUAAUAUUAUAUCUACAAAUAAUACAAUACAAUAAAAAAAAAAUAAUUAAAGUCAAUGAUCCAAAUAGAGUUUGUUUAGAAGUAACUACUUAUGAUUGUGACAUAACUAAAACUAUCUGAUCAAGUUGGCGAAAAGUUAAAUUAAUAAUCAAUUAACUAAAAGACCGAAUCAAAUUGAGUGACAAAAAGUCAAAUAAACCGACUUUUAAUAUGAAUAUUUUUACCUAUUGUUUCGUAAUGUAUGAUAAUGAAUUGUAUUAUUUUAAGCCAAGUCAUGCAUAAGAUAAGUAUAAAAAAAAUCAAAAUUAAUACAUAUUGUAUUUUCUUUAGUACUUUUUACCUAACGACCCUUGAAGUUGUUGAAAAUUUGGAAGACUUGAUGCUGCAGAGCCAAUAAUCCCGAGGUAAUAAAGUCUUUUAAGAUUGAAGCGAAGUUUGUUUGGUAGCUAAUUAGAGUUAUACAAGUAUUAGUUAUAUAUGAAUAAGUUAGGAGAGAAUCUAUAUAUUAUUUUAUACAAAGUAUAGUUAUUCAUGAAUCAUAUAUUGAUUAUUAAUAUUGUGCUUUUUCCACAUUCUAAAAACCCUACAUAAAAUAAUACAUACGUUUCCUCAUAACUUAUGCAUUUAUUAAUUAUGCAGAUUUUCAAAUUUUAAAUCAAAUAGUAUCAUAGUAACCUAAGAUCUAAUACACGCGUAACGACACUUAUGACUUUUCUUCACCUUCUUGGCAAGGGAUAAGUCAAAAGUCUUCUUAAAUUACUUGUUUUUAGUACGUACUCUUUAUUUUCUCUCAUUAAUUUUUUUGAAAAAAAAAGUAGGGUACAUUUUUUAUGAUUUCAAUGAGGAACAUGAUAAGAAGUUACCAUAAAGACUAUGAAUAAAUAGUGAAAAAAGGUGGUGUCUUGUUCUUCAUUAAGUCUUUAGCAAUUAUAACUUAUAUUCAUCAACAAUAAUGUCACACACUUUUUCUUCUGAAAUUCACAAGUACGAUGCAUUUCUGAGUUUUAGAGGUGAAGAUACACGAAAAACAUUCGUGAGUCAUCUCUAUAACGCUUUAAUACAAGGAAGAAUUGAUGUUUUCAAAGACGAUGAGCGUCUAGAAACCGGAAAUUCAAUUUCUGAUGAACUGCCAAAAGCCAUAGAAGAGUCUAAAUUUGCUAUAGUGAUAUUUUCUGAAAGCUAUGCAUCGUCAAAAUGGUGUUUAGACGAGCUUGCACACAUCAUAAAGUGUCGAAAGGAAUUGAAACAAAUCGUAAUUCCUAUUUUCUAUAAUGUGGAUCCAUCAGAUGUGCGUCAUCAAACUCAAACUUUUGCUGAGUCUUUUUCCCAACAUGAGGAAAAAUACAAAGACGAUAUGGAGAAGAUUCAAAGAUGGAGGGAUGCAUUUGCGGAGUCUGGGAAAAUAUCAGGGUAUCAUUUGCAAAACUACAAGUAAGAUUACUUUUCUUUGUCUUAUUAACUGCUAAGUCAAACAUGUCAUAUAAACGGAGUCAGAGAGAAUAUUUAAUUUGAUUUCUAAAGUUCGAUGUAAAUAGUUGUUCUUUUCAUUGUUACAUUUAGGGAUGAGGCAGAUUGCAUCAAAAAGGUUGUUGAAAGACUAAUGUCAGUAUUACAUAUUGAAUCCGAUGACGAUGGUGUCCGUGCCUUCAUACGGGGCAUGGACAAUAACUCUCCAAUUCUUAUUGAUGGAGGCAAAAUGGUAUUAUUUCUUUUAUAAUUUGAAUCCUUUUAGUGAAAUUUGAUAGAUAUCUAUCUUAUCACGUCCAUUAAUUAAGUACCUAGUUGUUAGUUUCAAAAUUGUGUUAGUUGACCCUUGAAAAUAUUGUUUCAAUUAUCAAUACAAAAUCCUAUUUAGUAAGUAAUAUAAUGAUCAAUAGUCUUUAAAAUACCAAAUAAUAUGUAUACAUGUUUUUUUUAUAAAUGAUUAAUUCACACUUGACAUAUGUCCAUAACUAAAAUUACAUAUGCAAUUAUAGUUUUAUUCUUUUACUGCGUUAUUUUCGUAAAUACUAGAAUUUAGAUUAAUAAAUAACUAAUUGUCAAUGAAAAGGACCAAUGUCUAUGUGUACCGUGUUACAUGUAUGGGUGAAACUGUGGAAGUCAUGUCAAGUGGGCAGGGUCAGUCCAUGACCGAUCCAACCCGACCUGAUAAGAAAGGGCCAAUGACUAGGCUGCCCCAUUCAUAAGGGUUGUUGGGUGGUCAGGGUCCAGACACAGGCCAACUACUAGCUUGGCCCAUUCAUUAUGAUUGUUGAGUGGUCUCUAUAGGACCUUUUUCGAUUUGUUUUCUAAUUUAUGAUGUCCUAUGUUUGUUAUUUGUCUUGUCAAUCAGAGUUUUUCGUUAGAUAAGAAGAGGAAGAAAUGUUUUAUGAUAGCAGCAAGGGAACUUGAUAUUGAAUGGAGUCAUAAACCAAAGUAUUGGAAAUGGUUAUCUCACUCUGACUCCAGGUUUUAUAUAUUCGCAGUCCCUUUCCAUAUUUUAGUAUAAAAUUGGAAAGAAAUCAGUAAUAAUUAUUGAGCAAGGUUAAUUUUUUUUUUGUAGAUUCGCGGAAGUGGCUAAACUCAAGAAGGUCUAUUGGCUUGAAAUUCAAGGCAAAAUUGAUUCUCGAAGACUGUCAAAAAGAACCAAAUAUGUUGCUUAUCUAGUGUUCAAAUUGGAAAAUCAAUUCUAUGGCCUUGAAACUGUUAAUGCAGUUGUAAGAUUUGUUGAUUCUAUGAGUAAAAAAGAUGCGGAGAAACGAGCUAGUGUUGUGCAUUUUGCAGGACGAGGACCUAGAGAAACGCUACCCUUCGAAAGAGCUGAUGGAUGGAUGGAAUUAAAAAUGGGAGACUUUUUCAAUGAUGCAGGAGAAGACGGAUAUGUUGAUGCGCGAUUAAUGGAAACUAAGAAACUCGAUGAAAAAAAGGGCCUCAUUGUUCAAGGAGUGGAGUUUCGUCCCGAAUGAAGAAGAGAAGAAUCCUCCUCUAACUAUGCCCUUUUGUUUUGGUUUCAUUUUGAUAUUGAGGGGUGCUUACCAUCCGAGCAACUCCCUCUCGUCAAACAUUUUAAUAUGAUUCUACAAGUUUUACUUUUUUUACAGUCCAAAAGAGGCGCUACAUUUUUGUUUUAGAAGAGAGUAUAACAACAUUAUGAGUAUCUAUUUCUUCCCAAGUAACUUAAAACAAAUCAAAGUUUAAAUACUACGAUCUUUCCAUCUCAAAUUAUUUGUCAUGAUUUUUUAAAAUAAUCAUCUCGACUUUUUUGUCAUUUUAGAAGUUCAAGAUAAAAUUAAUUAUUUAUUUCAUAUUUUAGCUAGAGAGUAGUAAUAUUCUUGAAACUACAAGCACUUCAAUACAUAAGUAGAGAAAAUAUUCAAUUUAAAGAGAUUAUAUAAAUAAGUAGAGAAAUUGUAUUUGAUUGCGUAGGCGGGCAUUAUUUAUGGGAGGGUGCCCACCUAGUGUCAUUGUGCAUGUAUGAGAUCUCGCACAAGUAAUAUCAUAUUUGAUGACUUGAAAUACGAAGAUGAUAAGAAGUUCCCAUAAAGACUAUGAAUAGUUUUUACGAUGCUUUUCUGAGUUUAGAGGUGAAGAUACGCGUAGAACAAUAGUUUUAACAAUCCUAAUUAAAUAUUAAUAUGGUCAUCUUCAAACUUUUACAUUGACAUUGGAUACAACACAACUCCAAUUAAUUGGUCCAUAUUGAAGAUAUCCAUUACUAGGCCUACCGAUUUAAUAGUACUAGAGAAAUUCCAUCCUCAAAUUUGGUGGAAAAUAUCAAACAUUAAGCUUUCAAUGUCAUAACAACUUAGAGUAAUUAAUUAAUAAUCUUAUCAGAUUACCAUAAUAUUUUGUUAUUCAAUAGUACUAUAUAUUUAGUUUAGUUUCUAACGUAAUAACUAAAAUAGGGGACCUUUGUAAUUUUGUAUCGUGACACCUUUAUCUAGACGAUAUGUUAUUUGUCUCUGAUUGAGCCUGAUAUAUGCUAAGGCAAAAUUUUCAUCAGAAAUUUUAUCAUUUACUAUAUUUGAAAUCGAUGAUAUUGUAUCUAUACGUCGCAAUAGACGAUGGUUUAAUUAUUAGUCCAAAAAAAAUCAUCGUUUAGUGUAUUGCACACCAAUUUUUCAGCCCAGCAGACUCUUUUAGAGAAAAACUUCAUUCCUUUUUAGUUGUCAUGAUUUUCUUUUUUAGAUUCAAAUGAUAAGAAUUUUGACUAACAAUUUACGAUGUAUUUUUUAUCAUAUUGAUAUGCAAAAAAUUGUAAUUUAUAGUAAUUUUCGUAUAGUUUUUGAAUAUCUAAAAUUUUAAUUUAAAAUAUCGAAUUAAUAUAAUCUAAUUUAACUUUGAAAAUUAGUCAAAUUAUCUUUCGGAAAGCGCAACAUUACAACGAAAAAGGAAUGGAGGCCGAGUAUCAAAUAUAUGGUAUUACUUAAUUGUGCGAGAUCUAAUAUACGAUGACGUACACUUAGAGGUCGUUUGAUAGGGUGUAUAAAAAUAAUGUUAAAUAGAGUAUUAGUUAUGCUUGUAUUCACUAUACAUAAAUUAUUUUUUAUGCAUUGUUUGGUUUGGUGUACAAAAAAUAACAUGAAUUGCAUAAAAAAUUUCAUUUAUAAAAAUAUCCUCCACAAUUAUGAUGGAAAAGAUGUAAAAAGGGGUUUUGAGGGGUAAUUGAGGUUGUAACCAUACUAAUACAUGUAUUGAAUCUCUUUGUGUUACUAAUACCUAGAAAUCAAUGAUAUUAGUAAUACACUCUUUCAUACACAAUAAAGUGUAUAACUAAUGCAUGCAAACAAGAUACUAUUAAUACACAGAGUUAAUGCGUGCAUUAUUUUUGCUAAUACACUCCACUGACACCUCAAGAUUUUUCUUGGCUUUUUUCGCCAAGGUCUAAGUCAAAAGUCUUCUUACCUGUAUUUUGUACGACCUCACUAAUGAAAAAGUAGGUUACAUUUUCAUGACUUUGAAAUAGAAUUAUAGAAACAUGAUAAGACCAUAAAGACUAUGAAUAAAUAGUGAAAAAAUUAGGUAAAGUGUUGUUCUUCAUUAAGUUGAGAAUUUCCCUAUUAGUUUUUAGCAAUUGUAACUAAUACUCUUCAACAAUGUCAAACACUUCUUCUUCCAAAAUUCAAAAGUACGAUGCUUUUCUGAGUUUUAGAGGUGUAGAUAUACGUAGAACAUUUGUGAGUCAUCUCCAUAACGCUUUAAUACAAGGAGGAAUUAAUGUUUUCAAAGACGAUGAACGUCUAGAAACUGGAAAAUUAAUUUCUGAUGAACUACCAAAAGCCAUAGAAGAGUCUAAAUUUGCUAUAGUGAUAUUUUCUGAAAGCUAUGCAUCGUCAAAAUGGUGUUUAGACGAGCUUGCACACAUCAUAAAGUGUCGAAAGGAAUUGGAUCAAAUCGUAAUUCCUAUUUUCUAUAAUGUGGAUCCAUCAGAUGUGCGUCAUCAAACUCAAACUUUUGCUGAGUCUUUUACCAAACAUGAGGAAAAAUAUAAAGAUGAUAUGGAGAAAAUUCAAAGAUGGAGGGAUGCAUUUGCUGAGUCUGGGAAAAUAGUAGGGCACCAUUUGCAAAAUUACAAGUAAGAUUAUUUUUCUUUUUCUCUUUAUUCCCCCUCCGUAACAAUAUAGAUCUCUUAAUUUGAUUGGACACGGAAUUUUUUUAAAAAAAUAAAGAGAAAUUUUGUGGUUUUAAACUUGUCGUGUAGAUUGUUGGAAUUGAAAAACACACUAAAUAUAGAAAGAGAAUCUCUUAUGGACAAAUCAAAAAGGAAAGUAAGACACUUAGCUUGCGUUUAGACAUGCCAUAUGAAGUCCUAAUUUCAAAUCAAUGUUUGGGCAUGUGUUUGGAAUCCCAAAUUUUCCAUAUAAAAAAAACAUGAUUUGAGAUUCCAAAUCAUGUUUUUGGAGAAUGAUUUCAGAUUCUAAUCUCAAAAUCUCAUAUUCAAAUAUUGAUUUGAAAUCGUGACUUCAUAUCGUAUAUCCGUAUGCAAACUUAAAUUAGAAUAUAUAUAAGGAAUAGUAUUUUUCGAGCUUUGCCUUCUUGGGUGAUUCAAGAAACAUAUUGUUUUAUUGUUGUGCAAAAAUAAUUAAAAUUAAUAAAAUAAGGUAUAUAUAAUAUCAUAAAGAGAGUAUACCCUAAAUAUAAAUUCUAUAAUCUUGUAUUCUCUUUAUGCCUUAUGUGACAUAAUCCAUUCAAAAAAAAAUAUCACUUUUAUAUUAAUAGAAGGAAUUUAACUUUAAAUUUUCUUUUGUACCCUUAAUCAAAUGAUCAUUUACAACUCCACACAAGUGUGUAAGGUUCUUUUUAGAUCAUAAAUUUCAAAUUUUGUUCUUUUCUUUCUUAAAUUUUAUGUCAAAUCAAAUGAUAUCACAUAAAUUGAGACAGAAAAAAGUUUGAUUUCUAAAUUUCGAUCUAAAUAAUUGUUCUUUUUAUUGUAACAUUUAGGGAUGAGGCAGAUUGCAUCAAAAAGGUUGUUGACGAACUAAUGUCAUCAUUACAUAUUAAAUCUGAUGACGAUGAUGACGCUAGGGAUCGGGGCGUGGACGCUAAAUCUCCAAUUCUUAUUGAUGAAGGGAAAAUGGUAUUUUUUCUUUUAUAAUUUGAAUUCAUGACUAGCCUUCCCCAUUCAUAAGGGCUGUUAGGUGGCCUGGGCCUGGAACCAGGCCACCAAACAUGUAGUUAAUUAUUGGCAUGAAUACAAAUAAGUCUGACUAAUUGUACAAUGAAAAUGACCCUCAUGGCUAUUGAUGUGUUUUAUGUAUGGUAUAAUGCGCGGCCAGUUGUAGCUAGUCAUGUCAAGUGAGCUGGAUUGGCAUGUGCUGAGCCCAAUCAUACACCAUAAGAAUAUGCCAGACCCGUUACUGGCCUGGCCCAUUCAUAAGGGCUAUUAAGUGGUCUAUAAGACCUUUUUCAAAUUGUUUUAUAAUUUAUAAUGUUUUAUGUUUGUGAUUUGAUAUGUCAAAUAGAGUUUUUCACGAGAUAAGAAGACGGGAAAGAAAUGUUUCAUGAUAGCAGCAAGAGGACUUGAUAUUGAAUGGAGUAAUACACCAGACUAUUGGGAAUGGUUACCUCACUCUGACUCCAGGUUUUAUAUAUUUGCGAUAUCUUUCUAUGUACUAGUAUAAAAUUUGAAAGGAAUUAGUAAUAAUUAUUGAUAAAGGUGAAUUUUUUUUGUAGAUUCGGGGAAGUGGCUAAACUCAAGUGGGUUUGUUGGCUUGAUAUUCGAGGCAAAAUUGAAACUCGAAGACUAUCAAAAAGAACCAAAUAUGUUGCUUAUCUAGUGUUCAAAUUGGAAGAUAAAUUCCAUGGCCUUGAAACCGUUAAUGCAGUUGUUAGAUUUGUUGAUUCUAUGAGUGUAAAGGAAGCGGAACAACGAGCUAGUGUUGUACAUUUUGCAGGACGAGGACCUAGAGAGACACUACCCUUCAAAAGAGGUGAUGGAUGGAUGGAAUUAAAAAUGGGAGACUUUUUCAAUGAUGCAGGAGAAGACGGAGAUGUUGAUGCUCGAUUAAUGGAGACUCAGCGUCUCGAAGCAAAAGGUGGCCUCAUUGUUCAAGGAGUGGAGUUUCGC